rnacentral:lncRNA from 1 species
CUGUGAACCUAAAAGUGCUGUAAAAAAUAAAGUCUGAGAAGAAAAGAGAACAAGUGAGCUUCAUUAGGUAGCCAUGGGGUUAACUGCAGCUGGCCCCGCUUACUAGCUAUGUAAAUAGUAAGUAAAGAUCUCUAAACCUCGGUUUUCUUAUCUGAAAAAGCGUAGCACAUCUGCAGAGUUUUGGCUAAUGGCAGACAUCUUGGAGAUUACCUCAGUGCUGGCCACGUGGGCAUUUGAUCAGCUGAGAUUAUAGUGACUUGAGAAAAAUGGACUUGCUCCAUCUCUGUUUUUUCACACUUCCGUUUCCUCUACGCCGUUUUGGCAUAUUGACAUCACUGAGCAAAUUACACAUAGCUUGUCCUGGUUCCAAAAGUUUGUGGCUGAUGAAAAGUGACAAAGGGGAAACUGGGAAAGGAAAACAACGUGCAGUGAGCAGCAGUGUUAAAGACCCAGAAGUCAGCACUGCAGUUCCCAAAGGGUGUCAGCUCCAGUUAGCCCACGGCUCACCUGACAAGGUGGUGGGGGGCAGCCACCUGCCACCCAGGAUUUUCAUGGAGAAGCUACAUAAACAUCCUCCUGGAGUCCCAGUGCAACCCCUCCUGGAAGUCUUCGGGGGACAACAAGCUAAGUUUCCACCGCUUAAGGCUUUCUCCACACCCUACGUUUUGCUGAACUCCACCCUUGGAUCCAGGCUUCCUGUAAAUAUUUCAUGCCGCCCUGCUCCCCACAAGGACAGAUCUGUCAAAAUUAGUGAGGCCGCUACACUGAAUCCAGGUUUGCUUCGCCAGCUUUCUGUGUCAGCUCUGCGUCGGGAGGUGAUCCCGCUCACGCCGCAUAGCCUCCGUGGCAACAGAUUGCUGGCUGCAACAAAGCCACCUUUGGAACCGAAUUAUUGCCUCAGUUUCUUCAUCUAAGGAAAUAGGACUGGCCAUAGCCCGGAUCUCCCUGCGUUACCUUCACUCACACUUCCAUUUGUCCUCUGAAAGCUUCAAAGCUGUCCCUCCCCCGAGAGACACUAUCUUCUACUCGAAAAUUUCCCUUUUCCAAAUGAGAUCCUUGUGUUAAGAACAACCUUGAGCAUGGCUCGCUGUGAAAGGCAGUGGAACACACUUUCACCGCGAGUAACUUCAAAGGAAAAAAAACACUGAGU